rnacentral:rRNA from 1 species
UACGAAGGGGACUAGCGUUGUUCGGAAUCACUGGGCGUAAAGCGCACGUAGGCGGAUAUGUCAGUCAGGGGUGAAAUCCCGGGGCUCAACCUCGGAACUGCCUUUGAUACAGCAUAUCUUGAGUCCGAUAGAGGUGGGUGGAAUUCCUAGUGUAGAGGUGAAAUUCGUAGAUAUUAGGAAGAACACCGGUGGCGAAAGCGGCUUCCUGGUCCAGCACCGACGUUCAGGCACGAAAGCGUGGGGAGCAAACAGG